CCAGACUCCUACGGGAGGCAGCAGUGGGGAAUAUUGCACAAUGGGGGAAACCCUGAUGCAGCAACGCCGCGUGAAGGAAGACGGUUUUCGGAUUGUAAACUUCUAUCCAUAGGGAAGAAAGAAAUGACGGUACCUAAAUAAGAAGCCCCGGCUAACUACGUGCCAGCAGCCGCGGUAAUACGUAGGGGGCAAGCGUUAUCCGGAUUUACUGGGUGUAAAGGGUGCGUAGGUGGCAUGGCAAGUCAGAAGUGAAAGCCCGGGGCGCAACCCCGCGGACUGCUUUUGAAACUGUCAGGCUGGAGUACAGGAGAGGUAAGCGGAAUUCCUAGUGUAGCGGUGAAAUGCGUAGAUAUUAGGAGGAACACCAGUGGCGAAGGCGGCGUACUGGACUGUAACUGACACUGAGGCACGAAAGCGUGGGGAGCAAACAGGAUUAGAUACCCUAGUACC
rnacentral:rRNA from 1 species